UUUUCAAAGAAUCCUUUGAUCUCAGUCCAACAAUAUUUUCAGUCAUCGUCAUGGCUCCAGGAGAAACCGAAGGUGAUAUCGAUGCCCCUUCCUGUUUGUUAGAAGCCUCAGCGAAAUCAGCGGUAGGAGCUGGUAACAUUUGCCCAGAACCAUCAUCCUGAGACUUUAGUGGUCGACUUUCUUUGUUUAUCUCAAGCAAAUCCUUCUCCACAAGGGUUUCCGAAUCAAUGGCGACAGUGCCUUGAGCUGAAGUAUCAUCAGACUGAUCAACAGGAGUAAUGCGACAAUCCAAAUCAACACCGCUAGAUCUAUGGAUUUCAGGUGACUCAGUUUUCUUUGGAGAACCUUGUUCAUUGGAUACUGAAUGCAUUUUGGAAUCUUCAACAACAUUAGCAGGAAAAACUGGAACAGAUUCCAAGGAAUCGUUUGAUCUCAGUCCAACCAUAUUUUCAAUCAUCGUCCUUGCUCCAGGAGAAACCGAAGGUGAUAUCGAUGCCCCUGCCUGUUUGUUAGAAGCCUCAGCGAUAUCAGCGUUAGGACCAGCAUCCUCAGACUCUAGUGGUCGACUUUCUUUAUUUAUCUCAAGUAAAUCCUUCUCCACAAGGUUUUCCGAAUCAAUGGGGAUAGUGCCUUGACCUGAAGUAUCAUCAGGCUGAUCAACAGGAGUAAGGCGACAAUCCAAAUCAACACCGCUAGAUCUAUGGAUUUCAGGUGACUCAGUUUUCUUUGGAGAACUCUGUUCAUUGGAUGCUGAAGGCAUUUCGGAAUCUUCAACAACAUUAACAGGAAAAAUUGGAACAGUUUCCAAAGAAUCCUUUGAUCUCAGUCCAACAAUAUUUUCAGUCAUCGUCAUGGCUCCAGGAGAAACCGAAGGUGAUAUCGAUGCCCCUUCCUGUUUGUUAGAAGCCUCAGCGAAAUCAGCGGUAGGAGCUGGUAACAUUUGCCCAGAACCAUCAUCCUGAGACUUUAGUGGUCGACUUUCUUUGUUUAUCUCAAGCAAAUCCUUCUCCACAAGGGUUUCCGAAUCAAUGGCGACAGUGCCUUGAGCUGAAGUAUCAUCAAUCUGAUCAACAGGAGUAAUGCGAGAAUCCAAAUCAACACCGCUAGAUCUACGGAUUUCAG
rnacentral:lncRNA from 1 species